UACGGAGGGAGCUAGCGUUGUUCGGAAUUACUGGGCGUAAAGCGCACGUAGGCGGCUUUGUAAGUUAGAGGUGAAAGCCCGGGGCUCAACUCCGGAACUGCCUUUAAGACUGCAUCGCUUGAAUCCAGGAGAGGUGAGUGGAAUUCCGAGUGUAGAGGUGAAAUUCGUAGAUAUUCGGAAGAACACCAGUGGCGAAGGCGGCUCACUGGACUGGUAUUGACGCUGGAGGUGACGAAAGCGGUGGGGGAG
rnacentral:rRNA from 1 species